ACGUCAGUAUGCAUUGUCUCAAAAUGAUUAAGCCUAUGCAGUGUCUAAGUAUAAGCAAUUAUACAGCGAAACUGCGAAUGGCUCAUUAUAUAAGUUAUCGUUUAUUUGAUAGUACCUUACUACUUGGAUAACCGUGGUAAUUCUAGAGCUAAUACAUGCUAAAAACCCCGACUUCGGAAGGGGUGUAUUUAUUAGAUUAAAAACCAAUGCCCUUCGGNUCCUUGGUGAUUCAUGAUAACUUCUCGAAUCGCACGGCCUUGCGCCGGCGAUGGUUCAUUCAAAUUUCUUCCCUAUCAACUUUCGAUGUUUGGGUAUUGGCCAAACAUGGUUGCAACGGGUAACGGAGGGUUAGGGCUCGACCCCGGAGAAGGAGCCUGAGAAACGGCUACUACAUCCAAGGAAGGCAGCAGGCGCGCAAAUUACCCAAUCCCGACACGGGGAGGUAGUGACAAUAAAUACUGAUACAGGGAUAUUUUGGGUCUUGUAAUUGGAAUGAGUACAAUCUAAAUCCCUUAACGANNNNNUAUAUUAAAGUUGUUGUGGUUAAAAAGCUCGUAGUUGAACCUUGGGCCUGGCUGGCGGUCCGCCUCACCGCGUGCACUGGUCCGGCCGGGCCUUUCCCUCUGUGGAACCCCAUGCCCUUUACUGGGCGUGGCGGGGAAACAGGACUUUUACUUUGAAAAAAUUAGAGUGCUCCAGGCAGGCCUAUGCUCGAAUACAUUAGCAUGGAAUAAUAAAAUAGGACGUGCGGUUCUAUUUUGUUGGUUUCUAGGACCGCCGUAAUGAUUAAUAGGGACAGUCGGGGGCAUCAGUAUUCAAUUGUCAGAGGUGAAAUUCUUGGAUUUAUUGAAGACUAACUACUGCGAAAGCAUUUGCCAAGGAUGUUUUCAUUAAUCAGGAACGAAAGUUAGGGGAUCGAAGACGAUCAGAUACCGUCGUAGUCUUAACCAUAAACUAUGCCGACUAGGGAUCGGACGAUGUUACUUAUUGACUCGUUCGGCACCUUACGAGAAAUCAAAGUGCUUGGGCUCCAGGGGGAGUAUGGUCGCAAGGCUGAAACUUAAAGAAAUUGACGGAAGAGGCACACCAGGGGUGGCANGCGGCUUAAUUUGACUCAACACGGGGAAACUCACCAGGUCCAGACACAAUAAGGAUUGACAGAUUGAGAGCUCUUUCUUGAUUUUGUGGGUGGUGGUGCAUGGCCGUUCUUAGUUGGUGGAGUGAUUUGUCUGCUUAAUUGCGAUAACGAACGAGACCUUAACCUGCUAACUAGCCCGUAUUGCUUUGCAGUACGCCGGCUUCUUAGAGG
rnacentral:rRNA from 1 species